UUGGCAAUAGGAAAGUCCGGGCUCCAUAGGGCAGGGUGCCGGAUAACGUCCGGCGGAGGCGACUCCAGGGCAAGUGCAGCAGAAAAUUACCGCCUGCUCCGGCAGGUAAGGGUGAAAAGGCAGCUUAAGAGACUACCGCUCUCAUAGUAAUAUGGGAGGCGAAUGUAAACCCCACUCGGAGAAAGAUCAAGCAGAGAAUCAGUCGGCGGCCCGUCGCAUGUGUUCUCAGGUGGAUCGAUAGAGGCCUGUGGCAACGCAGGCAGUAGAUAGAUGGUCAUCAGAUACAGAACCCGGCUUAUAGUGACU
rnacentral:RNase_P_RNA from 1 species